rnacentral:rRNA from 1 species
GACGAACGCUGGCGGCGUGCUUAAUACAUGCAAGUCGAACGGAAAGGCCCUGCUCUUGUGGGUUGCUCGAUUGCCGAACGGGUGAGUAACACGUGAGUAACCCGCCCCUGUCUUUGGGAUAACUUCAGGAAAAUGGGGCUAAUACCGCAUAGGAUCUCCUGCAGCGUGGUGGGGGUUAGAAAAUGUCGGCCGUUGGGGAUGGUCUCGCGGCUUAUCCGCUUGAUGGGGGGGUAGGUGCGUUCAAAGGUUUCGACGGCUAGCCGGCAUGGGAGGGGGACCGGGGACAUUGGGACUGAGAGACGGACCAGACGCCUAUGGGACGCAGCAGUGGAGAACAUUGCAGAAUGGGCGGAAGUGUGAGACAGCAGCGCCGGGUGCGUGAUGACGGCCUACGGGUUGUAAACCGAUGUCGCCUGUGACGAAGCGUGAGUGACGGUAAUGGGUAAAGAAGCACCGGCUAACUACGUG